CUACAGAGGCAGGCAGGCCUCCUUGAGCUGUGGUGGGCUCCACCCAGUUGGAGCUUCCCGGCUGCUUUGUUUACCUAAUCAAGCCUGGGCAAUGGCGGGCGCCCCUCCCCCAGCCUCGCUGCCGCCUUGCAGUUUGAUCUCAGACUGCUGUGCUAGCAAUCAGCGAGACUCCAUGGGCGUAGGACCCUCCAAGCCAGUGAGAUGAACCCGGUACCUCAGAUGGAAAUGCAGAAAUCACCCGUCUUCUGCAUCGCUCACGCUGGGAGCUGUAGACCGGAGCUGUUCCUAUUCGGCCAUCUUGGCUGCUCCCCCACUUCCUUGCUUUUUUAAGGGAUCCCUUCAGAUGAGGAGACGGAAGUCCAGAGGGUUUCAAUCGCUUGCCCAAAGUCACAGAGUCGGGAAGUGCAGAGCCAGGCCACUGCCUGGUUUUAAAUUCUGGGUGGAAAUGCAACGUGCCGGUCAACAUGGUGUGCUGGUGAGUGUGUUAUCCUCAGCGGUGCCCAGGGCACAAAUGUGCAGACCAGCUGACAGCAACAGCAGGCUCCCCUUUUCUCCAUCAGGAACUGUCAGAGGAGGCUGGAUGUGGAGGAAAGCUGGGAUUCCUUUUCUCAUUUGAAAAAUGUUGAAACAGAUGGAUAUAAAAAAAGCAAAAUGUCUUGUUCCACGUUUCCAAAAGAGGAAGUAUGAAAGGCGUAAUUGAAAUUCAAAACGUUUGGUCUGAAAAUCCUACAUCCUUUCUCCUAACAACCGUGAAUUCUUACUAAAGGAUAAGGCAUUAAAGCCUUUUUUGAACCAUCUUUCUCUUAUGGAGGAACACAGCCUAUUAAACCACACCAGCUACUAACUGCCUGCUAGGGUCUGAAAGUGUCCUCCCAGCAGUCAUGUCUCCAAGGUGAUGGCAUUAGGACGUGGGGCCUGUCGGAGGUGAUUAAGUCACUAGAGUGGAGCUCUUAUGAAUGGGAUUAGUAACAACUUUCCUAAGAAGAGGCCAGAGAGCUAGCUCUUUCCACCAGGAGAGGAUACAGGAGAAGUCAGCCAUCUGCAACCUGGAAGAGGGUCCUCACCAGAACUCAACCAUGCUGGCACUCUGAUCUCGGACUUCCAGCCUUCAGAACGAUGUUUCUGCCCUCUGGGGCCAAUUCCACCACUCCCUGGAAAGUGAUGUGAUGACCCUGGGCUUGAGUCCAAAGAACAUAGGAGAGUUUUGGCAGGUCGAUGGUGUGUUGGUGCCAACCCACUUAGAGCGAAAACUGUUUAAACCAGUUUUAAUUGGAUUUCCCUCACUUGCAACAAGGAAGACCUGAAUAAUAUUGCUUCUGUCUGUAUGUCCAAAUACUUUCAUUUUUCAAGAAGCAAUGUUAUACCAACGUCAGAACAAAGGAACACUUUAUGCUGAUCC
rnacentral:lncRNA from 1 species